rnacentral:rRNA from 1 species
CUCCUAGGGGAGGCAGCAGUGAGGAAUAUUGGUCAAUGGGCGAGAGCUGAACCAGCCAAGUAGCGUGAAGGAUGACUGCCCUAUGGGUUGUAAACUUCUUUUAUACGGGAAUAACACGCGGCACGUGUGCCGCUCUGAAUAUACCGUAUGAAUAAGCAUCGGCUAACUCCGUGCCAGCAGCCGCGGUAAUACGGAGGAUGCGAGCGUUAUCCGGAUUUAUUGGGUUUAAAGGGAGCGUAGACGGGUCCUUAAGUCAGUUGUGAAAGUUUGCGGCUCAACCGUAAAAUUGCAGUUGAUACUGGGGACCUUGAGUGCGGCAGAGGCAGGCGGAAUUCGUGGUGUAGCGGUGAAAUGCUUAGAUAUCACGAAGAACUCCGAUUGCGAAGGCAGCUUGCUGGACCGUAACUGACGUUGAUGCUCGAAAGUGCGGGUAUCAAACAGGAUUAGAUACCCUGGUAGUCCGCACAGUAAACGAUGAAUACUCGCUGUUGGCGAUAUACUGCCAGCGGCCAAGCGAAAGCGUUAAGUAUUCCACCUGGGGAGUACGCCGGCAACGGUGAAACUCAAAGGAAUUGACGGGGGCCCGCACAAGCGGAGGAACAUGUGGUUUAAUUCGAUGAUACGCGAGGAACCUUACCCGGGCUUGAGCUGCAGCGGAAUGGCGUGGAAACAUGUCAGCGAGCAAUCGCCGCUGUGGAGGUGCUGCAUGGUUGUCGUCAGCUCGUGCCGUGAGGUGUCGGCUUUAAGUGCCAUAACGAGCGCAACCCUUACCGAUAGUUGCCAUCAGGUAACGCUGGGGACUCUAUCGGGACUGCCGUCGUAAGAUGUGAGGAAGGUGGGGAUGACGUCAAAUCAGCACGGCCCUUACGUCCGGGGCUACACACGUGUUACAAUGGGGGGUACAGCAGGCCGCUACCGGGCGACCGGAUGCCAAUCCCUAAAACCCCUCUCAGUUCGGACUGGAGUCUGCAACCCGACUCCACGAAGCUGGAUUCGCUAGUAAUCGCGCAUCAGCCACGGCGCGGUGAAUACGUUCCCGGGCCUUGUACACACCGC